CCUACGGGCGGCUGCAGUGGGGAAUAUUGCACAAGGGGCGCAAGCCUGAUGCAGCCAUGCCGCGUGUGUGAAGAAGGCCUUCGGGUUGUAAAGCACUUUCAGCGGGGAGGAAGGCGGUGAGGUUAAUAACCUCAUCGAUUGACGUUACCCGCAGAAGAAGCACCGGCUAACUCCGUGCCAGCAGCCGCGGUAAUACGGAGGGUGCAAGCGUUAAUCGGAAUUACUGGGCGUAAAGCGCACGCAGGCGGUCUGUCAAGUCGGAUGUGAAAUCCCCGGGCUCAACCUGGGAACUGCAUUCGAAACUGGCAGGCUAGAGUCUUGUAGAGGGGGGUAGAAUUCCAGGUGUAGCGGUGAAAUGCGUAGAGAUCUGGAGGAAUACCGGUGGCGAAGGCGGCCCCCUGGACAAAGACUGACGCUCAGGUGCGAAAGCGUGGGGAGCAAACAGGAUUAGAUACCCUUGUAGUC
rnacentral:rRNA from 1 species